rnacentral:snoRNA from 1 species
GUGACGCCGGCGAUGACCGGGCCGAGGAGGUGCAAGGAGCGGCGCAGGGCCUCCCACCGGAGCAGGAACGGGUCGCCGCCGGGGAACUCGGACGCGUCGAACGGCAGCAGGUCGAAGUCGAGGCGGCGGACGCUGGGAUAGUCCCUGAAGAGGGCGGCGA